GAUGAACGCUAGCGACAGGCUUAACACAUGCAAGUCGAGGGGCAGCGGGGGCGAAAGCUUGCUUUCGCCCGCCGGCGACCGGCGCACGGGUGAGUAACACGUAUGCAACCUGCCCGCAGCAGGGGGAUAAGCCGGAGAAAUCCGGUCUAAUACCGCGUGAAACCCUGAGGGGACAUCCCCAUGGGGGUCAAAAGGAGCAAUCCGGCUGCGGAUGGGCAUGCGUCGCAUUAGGCAGUUGGCGGGGUAACGGCCCACCAAACCGACGAUGCGUAGGGGUUCUGAGAGGAAGGUCCCCCACACUGGUACUGAGACACGGACCAGACUCCUACGGGAGGCAGCAGUGAGGAAUAUUGGUCAAUGGGCGGAAGCCUGAACCAGCCAAGUCGCGUGAGGGAAGACGGUCCUAUGGAUUGUAAACCUCUUUUGCCGGGGAGCAAGCCGGGUCUGCGGACCCGCGUCGAGAGUACCCGGAGAAAAAGCAUCGGCUAACUCCGUG
rnacentral:rRNA from 1 species